AACGAACGCUGGCGGCAGGCUUAACACAUGCAAGUCGAGCGCCCCGCAAGGGGAGCGGCAGACGGGUGAGUAACGCGUGGGAAUCUACCCAUCUCUACGGAAUAACGCAUGGAAACGUGUGCUAAUACCGUAUACGUCCUUCGGGAGAAAGAUUUAUCGGAGAUGGAUGAGCCCGCGUUGGAUUAGCUAGUUGGGGGGGUAAAGGCCUACCAAGGCGACGAUCCAUAGCUGGUCUGAGAGGAUGAUCAGCCACACUGGGAUUGAGACACGGCCCAGACUCCUACGGGAGGCAGCAGUGGGGAAUCUUGGACAAUGGGCGCAAGCCUGAUCCAGCCAUGCCGCGUGAGUGAUGAAGGCCCUAGGGUUGUAAAGCUCUUUCACCGGUGAAGAUAAUGACGGUAACCGGAGAAGAAGCCCCGGCUAACUUCGUGCCAGCCGCCGCUGUAACAC
rnacentral:rRNA from 1 species